rnacentral:tRNA from 1 species
GCCUGCUUAGCUCAGCUGGCAGAGCAACUGCCUUGUAAGCAGUAGGUCGGGGGUUCGAAUCCGUCAGCAGGCUCCA